GAUUAUAAGCGUAUGCAAAAAAACACAAGAACGAUUUACAAAUUGUUCUAAUUAAUUUCACUGAAUGUAAAUAACUGAUGCAACAGUUCCUACUUCUAAUUAUUAAAAUAUAUAAAGAAAUCUCAAACGAGAAUGCCAUUUGACUAUGCGAGAGUAUAAAAUGUUCGGUUACAUCCGAACUUAGUACUUCCUUAUUUGUUUUAAAUAUAAUUUUAAUAUUAUUGUUUUAUUACGAAUGUGGAUUUAUCUUUAAAUUUUAUUGGAUAUCCGUUUGACUUUUAAGCUAUUCACAAUUAUUAAACUUUUAAUUUUUACACGAUAAGUUCUCUUUUUGUACAUUUCUAAUAGAAAUCGAUAACUUUUGCUAUCUAACUCGCCAGGGUGUGGACUAGUAGGGAUUGUUUCUCAUAUUUCAUUAAUUUUUAUGUUUCAAAUUUCAAAUUUUGAAAUGCGCAGUUUUUAACCGUUGUAUGCAGGGGCCUUAGCCAGCAUAAAAUCAGCAACGCGAACUACGUAGUUGCCAGUAUUUUCGGCAUGACAGAAAACGUCUCUUUAUAACGUUUUCGUAAACAACAAAAAUUUCAAUUCUUAAAACAAAACAAGGAUAUUUGUACUAACUAAUAAAAGAACCAUCCAAGCCAUAGUGCCAAUUUUAUGGUGAAACGUGUUUAAGCAACCAGUGAUUCAAUUUCGAAAGGACUACUUUGUAACUCAAAGGCUCCAUCACCACUCAUUGCCGACGAGGUAUUGAUUUUAGCGGAUUUAUGCAAACCCCUUGCUCCUUUUUAAGAUGCUACUGCGCAAACUUCAUCUAGCAACACUGUCAGCAUUUCUUUGAUAAUUCCACUAUUUUCGUGAAAACAUCUGACGAGUUUGUAUUGGCUAGUUUUUUGAUAGAGCGCAUAAAAAUACGUCUUUUUCAUUACGAAAACCGCACCGUCACAAAAAAGGCAAGUAUUUUGGACGCAAAAGAGAAAAUUUUCGUUCCUCCUCAAUCGCUGAUGUUUCCUCAAUGAAAAAAAAAUUAAGAGAAGAUUGAAUCAAACCGAGUGGAUGCAAUAAUUGCAGUCCGUUAAUAUCUCGAGCGGCCAAAUGCUUCAUCUUUGGACUAUUGGAAGCAACAAAAAUGAUUCAAUGUCUCUCAACAUCUGUGCCAGUCGAUACCUUUGUGUACCAGCUACUUCUACCACGUCGAAGAAAAUAUUUAGCCAGGCUGAAGUCUAAAACCGUCAAUAAAUUCUUAUCUUUAAACAAAAAUAAGUGGAUUAUUGACGAAUAAAGUCUAUGAAAACGUUUUUUAAGUAUA